UACGUGCCAGCAGCCAGCGUUAAUACGUAGUGGGGCAAGCGUUAUCCCGAAGUAAUGGGCGUAAAGAGCUAGUAGGCGGUUUGUCGCGUCUGCUGGGAAAUCCGGAGGCUCAACAUCCGGCCUGCAGUGGGUACGGGCAGACUAGAGUGCGGUAGGGGAGAUUGGAAUUCUUGGUGUAGCGGUGGAAUGCGCAGAUAUCAGGAGGAACACCGAUGGCGAAGGCAGAUCUUUGGGCCGUAACUGACGCUGAGGAGCGAAAGGAUGGGGAGCAAACAGGCUUAGAUACCCUGGUAGUCCACCCCGUAAACGUUGGGAAGUAGUUGUGGGGUCCAUUCCUCGGAUUCCGUGACGCAGCUAACGCAUUAAGUUCCCCGCCUGGGGAGUACGGCCGCAAGGCUAAAACUCAAAGGAAUUGACGGGGACCCGCACAAGCGGCGGAGCAUGCGGAUUAAUUAGAUGCAACGCGAAGAACCUUACCAAGGCUUGACAUAUACGAGAACGGGCCAGAAAUGGUCAACUCUUUGGACACUCGUAAACAGGUGGUGCAUGGUUGUCGUCAGCUCGUGUCGUGAGAUGUUGGGUUAAG
rnacentral:rRNA from 1 species